AUUUGAUUAACGUCCGAAUAAAGCAUACUCCUUUAAUGUUUUUUCAGAUUGAAAAGCUUUGGUUCUUGUGCGGUCACAUGACUUCUUCUUCUUCUCGUACUUUCUUGUUUUUCUUUUCCUUAUUUGAAACAGAUAGAAUUUGGCAAAUCUAAUUCACUACUAGAAAGUACGGUUUCUUCUUAGCACCUCUCCUCUUUGAUAUGAGGACCGCUUGAUAGAGAAGCGCACAGAAACUGUUCGACGAAAUGCUCCAAAGAUGGUCUCUCUCAACUCAGGCCCCGUUUCUUCUUUUGCUUAUAUGAAUUCGCUGAUUGAUUCCGAUACCCUUUUGCCUCUAUCUUCUUUCUCUGCCUUCAAUCCCAUUUGUUCGGGGAAAUUGAGUCUCUUAGCUGAUGGGAAAAGUUGUGGGCCUGUUCAAUGGUUUCUUGAGGUCAAGCUGAGGAAGAAAGGUUGUUGCUUUAGGCGCAGUGGGGUUCUGAGGAUGUGCAAUAACCAAGAUUUGGGAUGGGAUAGCGAUAAGGAUCUGGAAACUGAGAUUUUGGAGUUCAUGAAGAAUUCUGAGAAACCUGGCAUGUUUCCGAGCAAGAAGGAUUUAAUCAGGUCCGAAAGAUUUGAUCUUGUGGAGAGAAUCGUAAACCAAGGUGGGUGGCUUUCAAUGGGAUGGGACUUGGAUGAACAACAAGAAGAGGAGGUCCGAGUAAAAGAGAAGAACGUCGUGCUAGGGGACUUGCCUAUUGAGAAACAGCUUCAUAAUCUUUCCUCGAAUGCUUCAUCUUCAAGAGAAGAAGUAGAUGGUAAGAAUGAGAGUGGAAUUGAAGGCAUUUUGACCAGAUUGGAGAAAGAAAGGAAUUUGAGUCUAGGGAUAAACUUGAGUGGGAAAGGAGAAAGCAAUGGUGCCAUGUAUGAUGAUAUCACCCUAAAUGGUUCCCUUCCUCGUUCUUCAAUUAUUGUGACAGCUAGUGAGUUUCAAGAAGUCGACGGUAGUAGAAGUUCAGGGGAAUAUGGACAAAGUAGGUAUCAAGAAGCCAAGCCAGUUUCAGGAAACAAUUCGUCUACAUCAGAAACGUGGAGAACAUGGAGUAUGAGGAGAGCUGGCUUUACUGAUGAAGAUUUUGAAGCUGCUGAAAUAUCUUCAAGUAGCUUGGUUGGUCUAAAGAAGGAUGAUACGAAUAAGGAUUCAAACGGAAAAGACAAAACUGCAUCUUACUCUGAAGAUAUAAAUACAACUCAUAUCAAAAGCCGUCUUCAGAAUCUCCAGUCAGAACUUUCUUCUGUUCUUCAAUCCCUUAGGUCUCCUCCUGAUGAAGUUGUAACAAGCAAGGAUAGUGAGAUAAAAUCUGGAAACUUGGAGAACCUCAAUGAUGAUUGGGAGUUCAAAGAGAAUGAAAUCAUAUAUGCCCAGAACAAGCUACGGUCUACGAGGGCAAAGCUAGCUGUUCUCGAAGGAAAGAUGUCUAUGGCUAUAAUAGACGCACAGAGGAUUGUAAGGGAGAAACAGAGAAAAAUAGAUCAUGCAAGGAGAGCUUUACGGUUACUCCGGACUGCAUCCAUAGUAUGGCCUAACUCAGCCUCGGAAGUUUUACUAACGGGUUCAUUUGACGGUUGGUCAACUCAGUAGAGGAAAAUGAAGAAAGCACAGAACGGAGUCUUCUCUUUGUCGCUGAAGCUAUAUCCUGGAAAAUACCAGAUAAAGUUUGUAGUUGAUGGCCAGUGGAAAGUGGACCCGCUUCGACCCAUUGUUACUUGUGAUGGAUAUGAAAACAAUCUGCUCAUCAUCUCGUGAGGUCAUUGCUAAUCCCACCAUCCAUGGAGCAUUGAACUGAAUCAUUAGGGUUUUAGUUUCUUUUGUAAUUUUCACUUUCAAGUAGAGCAAGGUAGCCAGGGAAAGCAGUAGAGCUGUAGGUUUUUUAAUCUUGAAAAAACAAGAAAGUAAGAAAAAAAUCUAUAUAUCUCAAUUUUCAUCAUUGUAAUGACUAUUCCUCUGACGAGAAUAAUGCAAACAAUUGACUUCUCA